rnacentral:snRNA from 1 species
UAUUGUUACAGCUCUUUUAGAAUUUGUCUAGCUUCUGGCUUUAGCUGGAAAACCCUA